GACUACGGCCAUGCCACCUUGAACAAGCCCAGUGACUGAUCUCAGGAGCUAAUAAGCAGGGUCAGACCUGGUUAGUACUUGGAUGGAAGACCACCUAGGAAGACCAGGUGCUGUAGGCA
rnacentral:rRNA from 1 species